GGCGGGAAAUAAUGGGGGCUGAUCAUGAGAGUGGCGGACCAGCCAGCUGAGUGGAUGGAGCCUCGCACACGUCACUGCCCGCCGCGGCCGUCAAGAGAGAGCGUCAGCCUCGUCCGGCUCACUCUCUCUCCUUCAGCCGGGAGAGACGCUCGACUCGCGGCUUAGGAUGCUUCUGGAUCCCCGCUGCAGCACCGCGCACUUCCACGCUGCAUGAAUCCGUGCACACGCACGCCCUGACGAGGCCUGACGACACGUGCACGCGCCUUGUAGGAGGGACCCGUUCCAUGUUAGUCCAUCAGCACUUUGAGAGGAGGAGGGAGCCUUCGGGGUUGAUUGUUAUCUUUGGUUAUCUAGCUGUAUGAGUGAUGUACAUUCUUCAUAAAGCUAGAUAACCGAAAGUAACAAGAAUCCCAUUACACUCCUGGAAAGGCACCAAGAAGAACCCCAAUGGACCCGUCCACAAGAACACAGUCACGCCAGGGUUGUGAAGAUUCUUGAAGGACCUUGGAUCAGGAAGCAGUGAGAGGCUAACGCUGGCCAAAGGAUGCUGGAAAGCGAAAUGAAGAAGAAGAAGAAUGAGGACGAGGAGGGGGGGUUGCUGUUGAUUCUGUCCUCCCUCUCUCCUCCUCUGCAUGCCCUCUCCCCUCCUCCUCCUCUUCCUCUUCCUCCUACCUUCCUCCUGCGCUCCAUCCUCAGCGCGCUGCCCCUCUUCCCAGCUCGCCACCAUCUUAGAGCCACGCUGGCACCAAAUAGAAGCGGACCAGCCGCCAGUGCAGGUUGAUGUUGGCUGACUGAGCUGAGGAUUGUGGGACGUCAUCACAUGGAUGCUUCCUCAUUUGUGCAGUCGGAGCCAAGAAUGACGUUCUUGUCUUGAUGGAGGUUCUGGGCUGAUGGUGCUGUUGGACCACAUGAUGAUAAGCACUCCCAAUGCCUUGACGACUUCAACACAAUCGUAGUGAUAUCACCGUUAUCUACGUAAUGAAUCAUAUUAAUAAUGAAGACGUAGCCCGGUUUUUGUUUUCGUCGCUCAGACUGGUGAAUGUGAGACCCACGGCAGCAGUGAAUCUUACUGCACUGUGAUUGGACAGCUCGUGUGUCAGCUGACACAACGACCAAUGAGGGAGCUGUCGUCUUUAAACGCUAUGCAACUGCUCUUCUUCGAACUGUGCACGUGGCUGCACACACACACACACACACACACACACACACACACACAUUUCCCUGCAGGCUUUACAGCGGUGGUGUGGCCAGUAGGAGUCACAAACACGCCUUAAUUUCCUCUUCUUGACACACACACGCACCCACACGCACCCACUCGCAAUAUUAAUAAUCACAGCCUAAUUUGCUCUAUAUUAAUUUUCGGCAAGUGGCAUUUUUUUGAUGAGCAUUGAUAAUCUAUGCUAAUCUUUUCAAAUAUGACUUUAAAUCAUCACCGUCCAGUCUGUGCGUUGCUUCUUUUUUUUUUUUUUUUUUGCAAAUUGAUUCUAGAGCCUCAUUUAGAAACUAUGAUAUUCUUUUGAUAAUGGUGCACACUGCCAGCGUGAGACAAUGACUUAUCUGCCUGGAUAAGCUUGAAAUGAUGUUUUUUAAGCCUCUGAUGUCUUUGCACAGGCGAGGAAAUCUCCGCUUGUGAUCCCAAAUCUGCUUUUUUUAUAUUCCUUUUAAUGUACGUCAGCUAUAUGGUUUAAGUUGUGCUGUUUUAUUUUUUGGCAACAAUUUACUGUGGGCGUUCACCAAUGUGCCUAUGAUGACUGUGUUGCAAUAGUAUUAAAUGUUUACAGUGAAAACAAUGCA